ACGCUGUAAACGAUGUCGAUUUGAAGGUUGUUCCCUUGAGGAGUGGCUUUCGGAGCUAACGCGUUAAAUCGACCGCCUGGGGAGUACGGCCGCAAGGUUAAAACUCAAAUGAAUUGACGGGGGCCCGCACAAGCGGUGGAGCAUGUGGUUUAAUUCGAUGCAACGCGAAGAACCUUACCUACUCUUGACAUCCAGAGAACUUAGCAGAGAUGCUUUGGUGCCUUCGGGAACUCUGAGACAGGUGCUGCAUGGCUGUCGUCAGCUCGUGUUGUGAAAUGUUGGGUUAAGUCCCGCAACGAGCGCAACCCUUAUCCUUUGUUGCCAGCGAUUCGGUCGGGAACUCAAAGGAGACUGCCGGUGAUAAACCGGAGGAAGGUGGGGACGACGUCAAGUCAUCAUGGCCCUUACGAGUAGGGCUACACACGUGCUACAAUGGCGUAUACAAAGAGAAGCGACCUCGCGAGAGCAAGCGGAACUCAUAAAGUACGUCGUAGUCCGGAUUGGAGUCUGCAACUCGACUCCAUGAAGUCGGAAUCGCUAGUAAUCGUAGAUCAGAAUGCUACGGUGAAUACGUUCCCGGGCCUUGUACACACCGCCCGUCACACCAUGGGAGUGGGUUGCAAAAGAAGUAGGUAGCUUAACCUUCGGGAGGGCGCUUACCACUUUGUGAUUCAUGACUGAGGUGAAG
rnacentral:rRNA from 1 species